rnacentral:rRNA from 1 species
UACGUAGGGGGCGAGCGUUGUCCGGAUUUAUUGGGCGUAAAGAGCGCGUAGGCGGCCGGUCACGUCGGGUGUGAAAGCUCAGGGCUCAACCCUGAGAGGCCAUUCGAUACGGAUCGGCUAGAGGCAGGUAGGGGAAAGUGGAAUUCCUGGUGUAGCGGUGAAAUGCGCAGAUAUCAGGAGGAACACCGGUGGCGAAGGCGGCUUUCUGGGCCUGUCCUGACGCUGAGGCGCGAAAGCUGGGGGAGCGAACAGG